rnacentral:rRNA from 1 species
GGCAAUCUGCCCUUCACUCUGGGACAAGCCCUGGAAACGGGGUCUAAUACCGGAUAACACUUCCACUCUCCUGGGUGGUGGUUAAAAGCUCCGGCGGUGAAGGAUGAGCCCGCGGCCUAUCAGCUUGUUGGUGAGGUAAUGGCUCACCAAGGCGACGACGGGUAGCCGGCCUGAGAGGGCGACCGGCCACACUGGGACUGAGACACGGCCCAGACUCCUACGGGAGGCAGCAGUGGGGAAUAUUGCACAAUGGGCGAAAGCCUGAUGCAGCGACGCCGCGUGAGGGAUGACGGCCUUCGGGUUGUAAACCUCUUUCAGCAGGGAAGAAGCGAAAGUGACGGUACCUGCAGAAGAAGCGCCGGCUAACUACGUGCCAGCAGCCGCGGUAAUACGUAGGGCGCAAGCGUUGUCCGGAAUUAUUGGGCGUAAAGAGCUCGUAGGCGGCUUGUCACGUCGGGUGUGAAAGCCCGGGGCUUAACCCCGGGUCUGCAUUCGAUACGGGCUAGCUAGAGUGUGGUAGGGGAGAUCGGAAUUCCUGGUGUAGCGGUGAAAUGCGCAGAUAUCAGGAGGAACACCGGUGGCGAAGGCGGAUCUCUGGGCCAUUACUGACG